CCAAAGGUGCCCCAGCCUGAGAGGCUGGACGAGGUGUACGAGGCCCUGAAGAGAGGACUGCAAUCCUACCUGCAGGUCCAUCAGAUGGAGCUGGACAGUCUGAACAGACAAAUGAAGGAGUCUAAGAGAAACUCUCGCUUGGGUUUUUUGUAUGAACUUGACAAG